GUUAAUCUUGUUUGUCCUUACAUCUAUAAUUUCUUACACAAACCAUGGAACAAACUUUAGCCUUUAUGACAUCUCUUCCCCAAGCAAUAAUUCUAGAUCUCAUGUUUCUCAAAAAACAAACAAAAAAAGAAAAAAUGUCUUCCAAUUUUAUAGUCAGCAGCUCGCUGUCUCAUGAAUCUUGAGAAUCAUAUAUAGCCAAAUAUGUUC
rnacentral:lncRNA from 1 species